rnacentral:rRNA from 1 species
CAAUAGCGUAUAUUAAAGUUGUUGCAGUUAAAAAGCUCGUAGUCGGAUUUUGGCAUCACGCCGAACUGUCUGCCGAUUGGUAAGUACGGUUUGGCGGGUGCUCUCCUUCCGGAGGCUCGUUCCCUUCUUAAUUGAAGGGUUCGUUGGUUCCGGGUCUUUUACUUUGAAAAAUUAGAGUGUUCAAAGCAGGCAAUCGCUUGAAUACAUUAGCAUGGAAUAAUAGAAUAGGACUUUGGUUCUAUUUUGUUGGUUUCUAGGACCGAGGUAAUGAUUAAUAGGGACAGUUGGGGGCAUUAGUAUUUAAUUGUCAGGGUGGAAUACUU